rnacentral:rRNA from 1 species
AACGAACGCUGGCGGCAUGCCUAACACAUGCAAGUCGAACGAGACCUUCGGGUCUAGUGGCGCACGGGUGCGUAACGCGUGGGAAUCUGCCCUUCGGUUGGGAAUAACUGAGAGAAAUUUCAGCUAAUACCUUAUAAUGUCUUCGGACCAAAGAUUUAUCGCCGAGGGAUGAGCCCGCGUAGGAUUAGGCAGUUGGUGGGGUAAUGGCCUACCAAGCCGACGAUCCUUAGCUGGUCUGAGAGGAUGAUCAGCCACACUGGGACUGAGACACGGCCCAGACUCCUACGGGAGGCAGCAGUGGGGAAUAUUGGACAAUGGGCGAAAGCCUGAUCCAGCAAUGCCGCGUGAGUGAUGAAGGCCUUAGGGUUGUAAAGCUCUUUUACCCGGGAUGAUAAUGACAGUACCGGGAGAAUAAGCUCCGGCUAACUCCGUG